rnacentral:rRNA from 1 species
UUAAACACCUUCAACUCGUGAAAAUAGGAAUACAAACUAAGAUUAGAUACCUUACUAUGCCUAACCUAACACACAAUCAAAUUACGAAUUGUUCGCCAAAUAACUACGAGUAAAAACUUAAAAUUUAAAAGACUUGACGGUACUUCACACCACCCUAGAGGAGCCUGUCCAAUAACCGAUACCCCACGAUUAACCCAACCCGCUCUGGCCCCCCAGUCUAUAUACCGCCAUCGCCAGCUCACCUUGUGAAAGAAACAAAGCGAGCCCAAAAGCAUCCAUUAUCUCCUGCUAACACGAUAGGUCGAGGUGUAACUAAUGAGCGGGGACAAGAUGGGCUACAUUUUCUACGAAUAGAAAACACGAAUAAAAUACGAAAGUAUAAACCGAAGGUGGAUUUAGCAGUAUGCUAAGGACAAAAUACUUAACUGAAACAAACGCAAUGAAGUGCGUACACACCGCCCGUCAUCCCUGCCACAUAAUCAACUAACCUAUAUAAACCCCCAUAAUCCCCAAACCAGGGCAAGUCGUAACAUGGUAAGCGUACUGGAAAGUGCGCUUAGAAACAAAAAGUAGCUUACCUAAAAGCAUUCGACCUACACUCGAACGACAUUACAUCUUAAUCUUUUUGAGCUGAACGAUAUAACACACAAUAAUCCCGCCCCAACAAAACAAACCUAUAUUGACACAACCAAGUAGAUGCG